rnacentral:rRNA from 1 species
UAGGGAAUAUUGCACAAUGGGGGAAACCCUGAUGCAGCGACGCCGCGUGAAGGAAGAAGUAUCUCGGUAUGUAAACUUCUAUCAGCAGGGAAGACAAUGACGGUACCUGACUAAGAAGCCCCGGCUAACUACGUGCC